AACAGGAUUAGAUACCCGGGUAGUCCAUGCCGUAAACGAUGAGUGCUAAGUGUUGGAGGGUUUCCGCCCUUCAGUGCUGCAGCUAACGCAUUAAGCACUCCGCCUGGGGAGUACGACCGCAAGGUUGAAACUCAAAGGAAUUGACGGGGGCCCGCACAAGCGGUGGAGCAUGUGGUUUAAUUCGAUGCUACGCGAAGAACCUUACCAGGUCUUGACAUCUUCUGCCAACCUAAGAGAUUAGGCGUUCCCUUCGGGGACAGAAUGACAGGUGGUGCAUGGUUGUCGUCAGCUCGUGUCGUGAGAUGUUGGGUUAAGUCCCGCAACGAGCGCAACCCUUAUUGUUAGUUGCCAGCAUUUAGUUGGGCACUCUAGCAAGACUGCCGGUGACAAACCGGAGGAAGGUGGGGAUGACGUCAAAUCAUCAUGCCCCUUAUGACCUGGGCUACACACGUGCUACAAUGGACGGUACAACGAGUCGCGAAACCGCGAGGUCAAGCUAAUCUCUUAAAGCCGUUCUCAGUUCGGAUUGUAGGCUGCAACUCGCCUACAUGAAGUUGGAAUCGCUAGUAAUCGUGGAUCAGCAUGCCACGGUGAAUACGUUCCCGGGCCUUGUACACACCGCCCGUCACACCAUGAGAGUUUGUAACACCCAAAGCCGGUGAGGUAACCUUCGGGAACCAACCGUCUAAGGUGGGACAGAUGAUUAGGGUGAAGUCGUAACAAGGUAACC
rnacentral:rRNA from 1 species